UACGAGUGGCCCAAGCGUUAUCCGGAAUUAUUGGGCGUAAAGGAUAUGUAGGUGGUUAUGUUAGUCGAAUGUCUAACCUCUGUGCUCAACAUGGAGACAGCAUUCGAAACGGCAUGACUAGAGUAUAGUAGGGGUAAGCGGAACUCAUAGUGUAGGGGUGAAAUCCGUUGAUAUUAUGGGGAACACCAAAAGCGAAGGCAGCUUACUGGACUAUUACUGACACUGAAAUAUGAAAGCGUGGGUAGCGAAUGGG
rnacentral:rRNA from 1 species